CACGGAUAACAUACCGAAAGGUAUGCUAAUACGGGAUAAUAUAUUUGAGAGGCAUCUCUUGAAUAUCAAAGGUGAGCCAGUACAGGAUGGACCCGCGUCUGAUUAGCUAGUUGGUAAGGUAACGGCUUACCAAGGCGACGAUCAGUAGCCGACCUGAGAGGGUGAUCGGCCACAUUGGAACUGAGACACGGUCCAAACUCCUACGGGAGGCAGCAGUGGGGAAUAUUGCACAAUGGGCGAAAGCCUGAUGCAGCAACGCCGCGUGAGUGAUGAAGGCCUUCGGGUCGUAAAACUCUGUCCUCAAGGAAGAUAAUGACGGUACUUGAGGAGGAAGCCCCGGCUAACUACGUGCCAGCAGCCGCGGUAAUACGUAGGGGGCUAGCGUUAUCCGGAUUUACUGGGCGUAAAGGGUGCGUAGGCGGUCUUUCAAGUCAGGAGUGAAAGGCUACGGCUCAACCGUAGUAAGCUCUUGAAACUGGGAGACUUGAGUGCAGGAGAGGAGAGUGGAAUUCCUAGUGUAGCGGUGAAAUGCGUAGAUAUUAGGAGGAACACCAGUUGCGAAGGCGGCUCUCUGGACUGUAACUGACGCAGAGGCACGAAAGCGUGGGGAGCAAACAGGAUUAGAUACCCUGGUAGUCCACGCUGUAAACGAUGAGUACUAGGUGUCGGGGGUUACCCCCUUCGGUGCCGCAGCUAACG
rnacentral:rRNA from 1 species